UGGGGUAUAGCACAGUGGUAGAGCAUAUGCUUAGCAUGCACAAGGUCCUGAGUUCAAUUCCCAGUACCUCCA
rnacentral:tRNA from 1 species